rnacentral:miRNA from 1 species
GUCCGCCCCAUAUACGUCAUCAUUGAGUAAACUUUGACCCGGAACUUCACAGUCAGCAGACACUUCCUGGGAGGGAGGGUCUGCUGCUGAUUGGGUGGAAUAUGUCUGCUGGCUGUGAGGUUCCGGGUCAAAGUUUAAUCAAUGAUGACGUAUAGGGAGCGGAC